AUUGAACGCUGGCGGCAGGCCUAACACAUGCAAGUCGAGCGAGCGGCGGACGGGUGUGUAAUGUCUGGGAAACUGCCUGAUGGAGGGGGAUAACUACUGGAAACGGUAGCUAAUAUCGCAUACCAUCAGAUGUGCCCAGAUGGGAUUAGCUAGUAGUUGGGGUAACGGCGCACCUAGGCGACGAUCCCUAGCUGGUCUGAGAGGGUGACCAGCCACACUGGAACUGAGACAAGGUCCAGACUCCGACGGGAGGCAGCAGUGGGGAAUAUGGCACAAGGGGCGCAAGCCUGAUGCAGCCAUGCCGCGUGUGUGGAGAAGGCCUUCGGGUUGUAAAGGACUUUCAGCGGGGAGGCGUUACCCGCAGAAGAAGCACCGGCUAACUCCGUGCCAGCAGCCGCGGUAAUUC
rnacentral:rRNA from 1 species